GAAUUUUUCUCAAUGGGGGCAACCCUGAAGGAGCGACGCCGCGUGAAGGAUGAAGGUCUUCGGAUCGUAAACUUCUGUCGUUGGUGAACAAGGCCCACGCAGUAACUGGUGUUGGGAUUGAUAGUCGCCGAAGAGGAAGAGACGGCUAACUCUGUGCCCGCAGCCGCGGUAAUACAGAGGUCUCAAGCGUUGUUCGGAUUCAUUGGGCGUAAAGGGUGCGUAGGUGGCGAGGUAAGUCUGGUGUGAAAUCCCGGGGCUCAACCCCGGAGCUGCACUGGAUACUGCCCUGCUUGAGUACUGGAGAGGAGAUUGGAAUUUACGGUGUAGCAGUGAAAUGCGUAGAUAUCGUAAGGAAGACCAGUGGCGAAGGCGAAUCUCUGGACAGUUACUGACACUGAGGCACGAAGGCCAGGGGAGCAAACGGGA
rnacentral:rRNA from 1 species